GAUAGGGCAGUAUCUGAAGUUGCUAGAAACUGACCCUAAUUGUCAACAGGAUGUUGAAAAUUCAGAUGAUGAAAUAUCAGAUGUUGCCCUGGUAGUAGCUGCCCUGCUGUUGCAGAAGUCUGGUAAAAACGACCUAAGCAGCAUCAUCCAGUUCAUCCCAGAAGGUUCGAAUUUUGAAAAGGCUGCCAGUGAAACGCAAGAGAUGCAUCCAAAGAUAUUGGUCAAAAAGAGCA